UCGAGAAUAUUUGUCAAUGUACGAAAGUAUGAACAUGCGACGCCGCGUGGAGGACGAAGGCCUUCGGGUUGUAAACUCCUGUCAUGAGGGAGUAAGUGUAUGCAAGCUAAUACCUUGCAUACUUGACAGUACCUCAAGAGGAAGUCACGGCUAACUCUGUGCCAGCAGCCGCGGUAAUACAGAGGUGGCGAGUGUUGUUCGGAUUUACUGGGCGUAAAGGGUCCGCAGGCGGCUUUGUGUGUCAGAUGUGAAAGCCCACGGCUUAACCGUGGAAUGGCAUUUGAAACUACAGAGCUAGAGUACAGGAGAGGAUAGGGGAAUUCAUGGUGUAGCGGUGAAAUGCGUAGAUAUCAUGAAGAACACCGGUGGCGAAAGCGCCUAUCUGGACUGAUACUGACGCUCAGGGACGAAAGCCAGGGGAGCAAAGAGG
rnacentral:rRNA from 1 species